rnacentral:lncRNA from 10 species
GGCUGGCCUGGGCGGAGUGCGGGGCCGACAUCUGCGGAGGGUUAGGAGGGGAAAGGUUUUUUCUACCCGCCGGCUCGGCGACCAGGCUGAAACUCAUGUUUGAAUUUAGUGAGCCGUUUGUUCGUUAGUCCGGAACACUAGCGCGGUAGGCCAAGCUGCGAGGAGGCGGCGAAAUCAGCGAAUAGCAAAUUAUAAAAGAAACAAGGCUUUAUCUCCUAGGCCCUCUAAAGCAUCCCCAGGAGAUCCGUAUCCCCGUUUUGGAGAGAACGCUGAAGCUCAGAAAAACUCAGUGGAAAGCGGCAGACCCAAGCCUCCUCGCCAAGUCUGAGUGACCGUGAAGCCCUGGUUUUUCCUUCUUUUUCUUUCUUUUUGUACUUUUUUUUUUUUUUUGGUAGAGUCGGGCUGUUGCCCGGCCUGGUCUCAAACUCCUCUAACUCAAACUAAAAAGCCAUCCUCCGGCCUCGUCCUGCCAAAGUGCUGAGAUCACAGGCAUAACCUGCCGCGCCCGGCCCAAGUCCCUAUUUUUCUUUCCAGGCUUCCUAAGUUCAUUUAAAGGCGAAUUUAUCUAUUAGUAAUGACGGCUGACGAGUGAUGGCAGAGUGGACAGGUGUAAUGGAGAGAUGAAAAAUGAACCUUCGCCUGUAAUCCCAGCGCUUUGGGAGGCUGAGGCGGGAGGAUCACCUGAGGCCAGGUAUUUGAGACUAGCAUGGGCAACAAAUUGAGACCCCAUGUAUCCAAUUUUUGUGUUUUUUUUAAUGUGGUGUGGUGGCGUGUGCCUGUGGUCCCUGCUACUCCAAAGGCUAAGGUGGGAGGAUCACUUGAACCCAUGUUGAGGCUUCAGUGAGCUAUGAUUGCACCACUGCACUCCAGACUGGGUAAUAGAGACCCUGUCUCUAAAAAAAAAAAAAAAAAAAAAUUAAAACUUAAAUUUUUAAAAAUUGAAAAAUUAACCUGAUAGGGGAAAUUUUAAAAAUCAGAAGUCUAUGUCAGUCGCGGUGGCUCAUGCCUGUAAUCCCAACACAUUGGGAGGCCGGGGCGGGCAGAUUGCCUGAGGUCAGGAGUUCGAAACCAGUCUGGCCAACAUGGUGAAACCCCGUCUCUACUAAAAAUACAAAAAAAUUAGCCGGGCGUGGUGGCAUGUGCCUGUGAUUCUAGCUACUCGGGAGGCUGAGGCAGGAGAAUGGCGUGAACCCAGGAGGCGGAGCUUGCAGUGAGCCGAGAUCGCGCCACUGCACUCCAGCCUGGGCGAGAGUGAGACUCAGUCUCAAAAAAAAAAAAAAAAAAAAGAAGCCUCAGGACACAUUGGUAAAAUUUCUCACAUAAGUAUGACACACCUGGGCCGGGCGCGGUGGCUCACGUCUGUAAUCCCAGCACUUUGGGAGGCCGAGGCGGGUGGAUCACGAGGUCAGGAGACCGAGACCAUCCUGGCUAACACGGUGAAACCCCAUCUCUACUAAAAAUACAAAAAAAAAUUAGCUGGGCGUGGUGGCGGGCGCCUGUAGUCCCAGCUACACGUAAGGCUGAGGCAGGAGAAUGGCGUGAACCCGGGAGGCCGAGCUUGCAGUGAGCCGAGAUCGUGCUACUGCACUCCAGCCUGGGCAACAGAGCUAGACUCCAUCUCAAAAAAAGAAAGGAUUCUCCACCGGGCGCGGUGGCUCACGCCUGUAAUCCCAGCACUUUGGGAGGCCAAGGCAGGCGGAUCACCUGAGGUCAGGAGUUCAAGACCAGCCUGGCCAACAUGGUAAAACCCUGUCUCUACUAAAAAAUACAAAAAUUAGCCAGGUGGCGUAGUGGCGCACACCCGUAAUCCCAGCUACUCGGGAGGCUGUGGCAGGAGAAUCUCUUGAACUUGAGAGGUGGAGGUUGCUGUGACAAAAGAGCAAGACUCCGUCUCAAAAAAAAAAACAACAAGAAAAUAGGAUUCUACAUAUUAAAUCGCUACAGACACUGCUGCAGAAAGCCAUUCCCUGCAGAAAAAAGAGGGCACAGUCAUUUCCCCAGCCAUGGAAGUUUCUUCCUUGGUGGAUCCGUGGUUCUGAACUCAACUCUGGUAGCACAUCAGAAUACUUGAGAAUAUUUUAGAAAGAAAGAGUUGCAUAAUAGCCCUAAACUGGAAACACAAAAAUUAGGGCCGGGCGCAGUGACUCACGCCUGUAAUCCCAGCACUUUGGAAGGCCAAGGCAGGCGGAUCACGAAGUCAGGAGUUCAAGACCAGCCUGGCCAAUAUGGUGAAACCCCAUCUCUACUAAAAAUACAAAAAAAAAAAAAAAAAAAAUAGCCAGGUGUGGUGGCGCACGCCUGUAAUCCCAGCUACUUGGGAGGCUGAGGCAGGAGAAUCACUUGAACCAGGGAGGUGAAGGUUGCAGUGAGCAGAGAUCGCACCACUGCACUCCAGCCUGGGCAACAGAGUGAGACUCGUCUCAAAAGAAAAACAAAUUUUGGUACAUCCAUCCAUGCAACAGAAUAGUAACAACUACCAAUACACCCAUGACUGAAUCUCCAAAACAUUAUGCUGAGUGAAAGAAGCCAGACAUCAGGAGAUGUCCAGCAUGAUUCCAUUCAUAUGAAACUCCAGAGCAAGCAAAACCAACCUAUACAGACAAUGCAGAUUAGUGGAUGUCUGGGGCUGGAGAGGGAGGUGGAAAUUGACUGGGAAGAGAGAGAAGGAAUGCUUUGGGGUGAUGGAAAUGUGGCCAUCCAGUCCACCAGCCGGUGCACUCCAGCCUGGGUGACAAAGGGAGACUCUGUCUCAAAAAAAAAAAAAAAAUGUCAGGUGUGGUGGCUCAUGCCUAUAAUCCCAGCACUUUGGGAGGCCAAGGGGGGAGUAUCGCUUGAGCCAGGAGUUCAAGAUUAGCCUGGGCAAUAAAGGGUAACCCCAUCUCUACAAAAAAUACAAAAAUUAGCUGAGUGUGGUGGCAUGCGCCUAUAGCGCUAGCUACUUGGGGGACUGAGGUGGGAGAGUCACUUGAGCCUGAAAGAUCGAGCCUGCAAUGAGUUUUGAUCAUGCCACUGCACUCCAGCCUGGGUGACAGAGUGAGACCCUGUCUCAAAAAAAUAUAUGGGCAGAUGCCAAGUUACAGCCUGUGCAGCAUAGUGAAACCCUGUCUCUAAAUAAUAAUAAAAAUAAUAUAGAUGCUCAGGCUUCACCAGAGACCAAUUAUCAAAUUAUCUGGGCUGGGGUCUGGCCAUCAGUAUUACUUGAAAGUUCUCCAAGUGGUGGGCUGGGCACGGUGGCUCACGCCUGUAAUCCCAGCAGUUUGGGAGGCUGAGGUGGGCAGAUCACAAGGUCAGGCGUUCGAGACCAGCGUGACCAACAUUGUGAAACCCCAUCUCUACUAAAAAUACAAAAAUUAGUCAGGUGUAGUGGCGCGUGCCUGUAAUCCCAGUUACUCAGGAGGCUGAGGCAGGAGAAUUACUUGAACCCAGGAGGUGGAGGUUGCAGCGAGCUGAGACCAUGCCACUGCACUCUAGCCUGGGCAACAGAGUGAGACUCUGCCUCAAAAACAGAAAAGAAAAGAAAAGAAAGUUCUUCAAGUGGUAAUUUUUUGUAGCCAGGGAUGUAGGGAUGUGAACCACAGGACCCUCCCUGUUCUCAAGGUAUAGGGAUGAGGUUAGAGAAUACCUGUGCACUUCUCUGUCCCUUCCUGGAAGAAGAGAGAAGAGUAUCUAAAGGAGGGUGAGAAUGGGGGCAGGUGGGGCAAUUUAUCCAACUCCCUGCCCAAGAGGUCAGAGACUUCAGAUCGCACCUUACUUUCCUCCUUCUUAACUCUUCCCCUUGGCUACUAGGGCUCCAGGUGGGGUCCUCUGGCCUAGAGGGAAGAAAAGGCUUAGGGUUUGGCAGUUGGAGCUGAAGACUAUUCCCUCCCUCUCUCUACCCAGCCUCUCUGGGUGUACCUGGGAGCCCAUGUCCUCCAAAGCUCAGGCUGUGGUAGGGUGCCAAGCACAAGCUCCCUGUAGUAACUCCAAGAGGGGGACAGGUCUCUGGGGAUGUCCUUCACAGGACAGGCAAGGGCCCUGGCUGGCCACCCACAGCCGGGACCCCAGGAGAUCCAGCAGGUACUGUAGCUGGAACACAGCAGUUCCCAUAGAUGGUCCCUCCUCAAACCCAAUCACAGACAGCUCCAACCUGGAGCAGCCUAGAGUCUCAGCAGGACACACAGUAGGGACAAAGUGACCUGGUAUCUAUGGGUAAGGGCAUGAGUCCAAGUCCCCACUCCCAAGAUUUCUUAUCUGUGUCCUGGAACAAACCCCUUCAGUUCUCUGGGCCUCAGUUUCCUCAUCUGUAAAUAGGGCUCUGGAUAAUCCCAACCGUAAGGCCUGACACUAUCCCAUGCUGUACUUAUGUGCAAGCUAGAAAAAGACACUCAGCUGGGCACAGUGGCUCAUGCCUGUAAUCCCAGCUCUUUGAGAGGCCAAGGCAGGAAGAUCACUUGAGCCCAGGUGUCCAAAACCAGCCUGGGCAACACAGCGACACCCCAUAUCUACAAAAAAAAAAAAAAAAAAAAAAAGGUCGGGCACGGUGGCUCACGCCUGUAAUCCCAGCACUUUGGGAGGUUGAGGCAGGUGGAUCACGAGGUCAAGAGAUCGAGAACAUCCUGGCCAACAUGGUGAAACCCUGUCUCUACUAAAAAUACAAAAAUUAGCUGGGCAUGGUGGCACAUGCCUGUAGUCCCAGCUACUCGGGAGGCUGAGGCAGAAGAAUUGCUUCAACCCAGGACGCAGAGGUUGCAGUGAGCAGAGAUCACGCCACUGCACUCCAGCUGGCAACAGAGCAACACUGUGUCUCAAAAAAAAAAAAAAAAAAUUAGCCAUUAGCUAUUUGUGGUGUCACGUGUAUGUGGUCCCAGCUACUCUGGAGGCUGAGGUGGGAGGAUUGCUUGAGCCUAAAAGGUCAAGACUGCAGUGAGCUGUGAUUGUGCCACUGCACUCCAGCGUAGGGGACAGAGCAAGACCCUGUCUCAAAAAAAAGAAAAUAAAAAGACCUUCCUUAAGUUCCUUCUACCUUCUAAGUCUUGAUUUUAUUAGAACAAGAUACUUUACUGCCAUCUGCCGCAAGUUGGCAAAUAUGCAAAUCUACAAUAUCCAGCCUGUGAAUAUAGUACUGUCUUUGUAGAUGUGGGAUCCUUGUGCAGUGUACAACAUUCACAUCCAUACAUGGUGGUCCUAUCUAUCUUAUAGGAUUGGUGUACAGAGUAAAUAAGCUAACAUACUUAAAGCAUUUAAACCAAUACCUGGCACAGAGUAAACACUAUUUACAUGCAGCUGUAGUCAUCAUCAUCAUUUGUUAUUAUAUACCUCCCUAUUCUAGGUGUUGGAGACAGCAGUGAGCAAAAUAUAUCUGUCAAGGCUAGGGGCUGGGUCAGGAGAUAGUCCCACUACUUCCUCCCCGCAACAUAUUCAUAUGGUCACACAGCAGCCCUCACACAUGGAGACCACUGAAUUCUCUCAAAACCUGCAACUGCAGAAAGAAGCGAAUGCAAUACUCACUGAGAGAUCAUCUGGGGUGUAGAGGGUGUCAUCAUUUUUGUUUUCCUACAGUUCAGGGGUAAGGAGGAGAAUCAGAUCUUGGAGGGAAAGAGGCUGACCCUUCCUCAAACACACCCCCUACCACGCCCCAUCAAUUGGCCCACCCCGUCUGCUGGCUCUGCUCCCCACUCGCUGGUAUCUUCAGAGGGCUGCAAGGAAGUAAAAAGGCUC